UCGGAUGUGGUGUACGGUGCACACCCGCCGGUAAUGAAUUUUAUCGUUAUAUAAUGCGGAGAGGUCUGGGUUCGACUCCCGGCGUCCGAA